rnacentral:tRNA from 1 species
UCUCCUAUAGCUCAGUUGGUAGAGCGUGCGGCUGUUAACCUCAAGUCGCUGGUUCAACCCAGCUGGGAGAG